rnacentral:rRNA from 1 species
AGUCGAACGCGAAAGCCCUUUCGGGGGCAAGUAGAGUGGCGCACGGGUGAGUAACACGUAGGUAAUCUACCUUCGGAUGGGGAAUAACAACCGGAAACGGUUGCUAAUACCGCAUGAUGCAGCGGCACCUAAUGGUGACAGUUGUUAAAGCGGGGGAUCGAAAGACCUUGCGUCUGAAGAGGAGCCUGCGGCGGAUUAGCUAGUUGGUAGGGUAACGGCCUACCAAGGCGACGAUCCGUAGCCGGCCUGAGAGGGCGGUCGGCCACACUGACACUGACAUACGGGUCAGACUCCUACGGGAGGCAGCAGUCGGGAAUUUUGGGCAAUGGGCGAAAGCCUGACCCAGCAACGCCGCGUGAAGGAUGAAAUCCCUCGGGAUGUAAACUUCGCAAGAACGGGAAGAAUAAGUCUGCGCGAACAUCGCAGGCGAUGACGGUACCGUUUGUAAGCUCCGGCUAACUCCGUGCCAGCAGCCGCGGUAAUACGGGGGGAGCAAGCGUUGUUCGGAUUUACUGGGCGUAAAGGGCGCGUAGGCGGCCACUGCAAGUCAAUUGUGAAAUCUCCGGGCUUAACUCGGAAAGGUCAACUGAUACUGCAGGGCUAGAGUGCGGAAGGGGCAACUGGAAUUCUCGGUGUAGCGGUGAAAUGCGUAGAUAUCGAGAGGAACACCUGCGGCGAAGGCGGGUUGCUGGGCCGACACUGACGCUG